GGUCAGGUGACUGUGACUCAACCUCCGGUAGUGACAUUUACUCCUGGAAACACUGUCACUCUGACCUGUAGGACCAGCCAAGCUAUGACCAUCAGUGGAGUUCAGGCUGAAGAUGCAGCAGUUUACUACUGUCAGAGUCAACAUUACAUAAACAGUGCUGCAGUGUUCACACAGUGA